rnacentral:rRNA from 2 species
AACGCGAAGAACCUUACCGGGGCUUGACAUCGGAGGAACAUCAUAGAAAUAUGGUUUCGGAGCAAUCCGACUUCCAGACAGGUGCUGCAUGGCUGUCGUCAGCUCGUGCCGUGAGGUGUUGGGUUAAGUCCCGCAACGAGCGCAACCCUCGUCGUGUGUUGGUCCGCAAGGAUCUCUCACGCGAGACCGCCGGUGAGAAGCCGGAGGAAGGUGGGGAUGACGUCAAGUCAGCAUGGCCCUUACGUCCCGGGCUACACACGUGCUACAAUGGGUAGGACAACGAGUCGCUAGCUAGUGAUAGUCUGCUAAUCUCUUAAACCUAUCCUCAGUUCGGAUUGAAGGCUGCAACUCGCCUUCAUGAAGUCGGAAUCGCUAGUAAACGCAGAUCAGCUACGCUGCGUUGAAUACGUUCCCGGGCCUUGUA